UACGAAGGGUGCUAGCGUUGUUCGGAAUCACUGGGCGUAAAGCGCGCGUAGGCGGCGAUUCAAGUCAGGGGUGAAAUCCCAGAGCUUAACUCUGGAACUGCCUUUGAAGCUGUAUCGCUGGAGUGUCGGAGGGGAUAGUGGAAUUGCUAAUGUAGCGGUGAAGUGCGUAGAUAUUAGCAGGAACACCGGUGGCGAAGGCGGCUAUCUGGACGACAACUGACGCUGAGGCGCGAAAGCGUGGGGAUCAAACAGG
rnacentral:rRNA from 1 species